rnacentral:rRNA from 1 species
UACCAGCACCCCGAGUGGUCGGGACGAUUAUUGGGCCUAAAGCAUCCGUAGCCGGUCCUACAAGUCUUCCGUUAAAUCCACCUGCUCAACAGAUGGGUUGCGGAAGAUACUAUAGGGCUAGGAGGCGGGAGAGGCAAGCGGUACUCAGUGGGUAGGGGUAAAAUCCUCUGAUCCAUUGAAGACCACCAGUGGCGAAGGCGGCUUGCCAGAACGCGCUCGACGGUGAGGGAUGAAAGCUGGGGGAGCAAACCGG